AUAACUGUUAGCCAUGUUUACCUCUUGAAAGCAGAUCCAAGACACUACAGGGGGAUAGAGUCCACCUGCGGCCCCCUGUGAAAGUGUCUGGGAACAGAGGUGACCUUGUGUUUGAAGACAUCGUCCUGCCGCUCUUACAGAUGAAAGUCGGCUGACAGAUGGAAGGAAGUAAAUCUGGCUGGAUGGGCUCUGGAAUCCUCCAACGCUGAUGGGAUGUCUCCUAACGCUCAGUACCUGCGAUACAGUCGACCAAGAGAAACGGCUAGCAGACAACCAUCUGCGUCUGAUGACUCAUUCCGUGAAUCAGACAGGAUUAUGUUUAUUUCAAUUUAUUUCGAGAGCUUUUUGCGUUUCACGAUGUUGCAUUUUGGCUCAUUUCUAAAAUUUUCCUUGACAUGAUGUGUAGUUCACAUGUUUAUAAAAAAGGAUCAGAGUCAUAUUGAAAAAGAAAGAUAUUACAUCCAAAAUGGCAAAGGUUUGUAGACAAUAUUUGGAGAAAAAACCUUUUUUUGUAUUGGGAAUUAUUGCAUAACCAUUUUAUUUGCAACAAUCAACAAUAUAUACCUUUAUAAAACAUUUUGCAUGACGUAAACAACACUGGUCCAGACCCUGACAGCACACAUCUCAGAGAAAUACAUUGGAUGUAUGCAUUUACAUCUGUUAGACGUAUUUUUUUUACGCAAAUUUGUUUGCCCAUCUCCAAUACGUCUCUGAGAUGUCUCCUGUAAGAUGUCGUGAAAACAUUUAUAAAAUGUAUAUGAUUGAGAAUGUAUGUAAAACUUCCUUUUCCAUGACCUUUGUGAGAUGUUUUCACAGCAGAUGUUUUACAGAUCUUUAUCAGACAUCGGAACUAUUUCUUUUUUAUUUCACAUAUAUAUAUAUAAUAUAUAUUUGACAUUCCAUCCAGGGUGUAUCCUGCCUUGAUGCCCGAUGACUCCUGAGAUAGGCGCAGGCUCCCCGUGACCCGAGAAUAUCUCUUGUGUUCGACAGAAGAAUGAAUGUAUGCGUAUUUGGAACGAUAUGAAGGUCGCCCUGCCUUGCUGAGCGAGUAUUUGUGUCAAAAUUCAUCUGCGGUUGAUCAAAGCUGUCCUCAUCACCGGCGCUUCUCUCUCCGACGAGACUCCUCCUGACUUUGAUCUUUUAAUUUGCAGUCUUUUUUGUUUUCGUCUGUCAUUCCACGUUGUUGCUUUCAAAGAAAAGACACAUUAUUUAUCACCAGCAACCUUUCUGAUUUGUUUUGACUGGAGGAUAACGACGGCACGGUGGUGGUAAUUGAUUCACUUUUUGUUUGGUAACUCGAAUCUGCGUCACACAGAUCUUUUAUUGUUUGUUUUGGUAUUCACUCAGAGGGAGAAAUGAAGUACGUUUGACCCACACCCAAGAAAGACUAAGCAGUCUGGAGUAUUUAUUCUCAUAAUAUCAAAACACACAGUUCUCAUUUUCUCAAAACGUACAUAGAGGCCAAAAGACUG